GACGAACGCUGGCGGCGUGCUUAACACAUGCAAGUCGAACGGAAAGGCCCUGCUUUUGUGGGGUGCUCGAGUGGCGAACGGGUGAGUAACACGUGAGUAACCUGCCCUUGACUUUGGGAUAACUUCAGGAAACUGGGGCUAAUACCGGAUAGGAGCUCCUGCUGCAUGGUGGGGGUUGGAAAGUUUCGGCGGUUGGGGCUGGACUCGCGGCUUAUCAGCUUGUUAGUGGGGUAGUGGCUUACCAAGGCUUUGACGGGUAGCCGGCCUGAGAGGGUAGACGGGCACCAGGGGACUACGGAAAGGACCAGGAGCCAAACGGAGGCAGCAGUGGGGAAUAUUGCACAAUGGGCGGAAGCCUGAUGCAGAAACGCCGCGUGCGGGAUGACGGCCUUCGGGUUGUAAACCGCUUUCGCCUGUGACGAAGCGUGAGUGACGGUAAUGGGUAAAGAAGCACCGGCUAACUACGUG
rnacentral:rRNA from 1 species